rnacentral:rRNA from 1 species
CUCUGAGACAGGUGCUGCAUGGCUGUCGUCAGCUCGUGUUGUGAAAUGUUGGGUUAAGUCCCGCAACGAGCGCAACCCUUAUCCUUGUUUGCCAGCGAGUAAUGUCGGGAACUCCAGGGAGACUGCCGGUGAUAAACCGGAGGAAGGUGGGGACGACGUCAAGUCAUCAUGGCCCUUACGAGUAGGGCUACACACGUGCUACAAUGGCGCAUACAGAGGGCAGCAAGCUAGCGAUAGUGAGCGAAUCCCAAAAAGUGCGUCGUAGUCCGGAUUGGAGUCUGCAACUCGACUCCAUGAAGUCGGAAUCGCUAGUAAUCGUGAAUCAGAAUGUCACGGUGAAUACGUUCCCGGGCCUUGUACACACCGCCCGUCACACCAUGGGAGUGGGCUGCAAAAGAAGUGGGUAGUUUAACCUUUCGAGGAGGACGCUCACCACUUUGUGGUUCAUGACUGGGGUGAAGUCGUAACAAGGUAGCCCUAGGGGAACCUGGGGCUGGAUCACCUCCUUAUAC